AGUAAAGUAAGCUAAACAAGCUCUUGGGCCCAUACCCCAAAUAUGUCGGUGAAACUCCCUCCUUUGCAA
rnacentral:tRNA from 4 species